rnacentral:misc_RNA from 2 species
AACGCACCUUGCGCCUUUUGGUAUUCCGAAAGGCACACCUGUUUGAGCGUCAUGAAUACCUCAAUCCCCAUCUUUUCUUCAGAUUGAUGGGUGACUUGGAUGUUGAGCCCUGCUGGUAUGCUAUAUCAGCUGGCUUUAAACUUAUUAGCCGGCUCUGUACUGGAUCGGUUCGACUCGACGUGAUAAUAUUAUCGUUGAGGAUGCAUGUCUCAUGCAGCCGGAAAGUAUCAAAGCAGCUUCUAGCUUGCCUUUAGCGCACUUUUACAUUUUAGACCUCAGAUCAGGUGGGACUACCCGCUGAACUUAA